UGGAUCUCUCCUCAUGGCUCUUGGUUGACAGACAAAGCUCUUGCUUUGCUGUUUCUCAUCCACUGGAAUGACAGGCAACGGAUCUCAGGAACACACCCUCUUGCAGCGACCUGGAGUCCAGGCCUCCCAGUGUUCAGCCACUGCCUUCUCACAGAUGAUCUGGAUUUAAUCCCUGGAUGGAGUGCUCUAUGGACUGGCAUGGGCAGUGAUAAUGCUGCGUUAGCCACUGAUUCUCUUCAGAUAAGACUAUCAGCUGUCCAGUCAGACGUUCUCGGCCCCCCAAGCAGAACCCUCAGUUACCAUCUCCCCCAGUGUCGGGGAGUGGAUGGUUUCACACAAGGGUCUUCCAGGAAGUUCUGCUAAGGAGAAAAAUAAAUGAGUACCAAUCUAUCGGA